UAUGCGUGGCUCUGUUUCAACAUACCUGAGAUUACUCUGAAGGAACAAUGAAGGCACUGCAAUUGGUAUUGCUUUUCAGCAUUAUGACGAUUGUUAUGGGCUCCAUCUGGGACCACAAGAAGUGCCUUUCAUUUUGCCGACCCAGAAGUGACAACGCUACCAACUGCGGCACUGGUUGCAAGUGCCAUCCUUUCCGCUAUAUGCCGAUGAUUGGAGGCUGCCUUGACGUCACUCUUGCAGUUUCCCUGGAUGUUUCGUCCGAUGCGAAGAUCUUAGGAAAAUAGCUACACGGUUUAAAGAAAACAAAAAGGGUACAAUAAACA